GGCAUGCCUUACACAUGCAAGUCGAACGGUAACAGGUCUUCGGACGCUGACGAGUGGCGAACGGGUGAGUAAUACAUCGGAACGUGCCCAGUCGUGGGGGAUAACUACUCGAAAGAGUAGCUAAUACCGCAUACGAUCUGAGGAUGAAAGCGGGGGACCUUCGGGCCUCGCGCGAUUGGUGCGGCCGAUGGCAGAUUAGGUAGUUGGUGGGAUAAAAGCUUACCAAGCCGACGAUCUGUAGCUGGUCUGAGAGGACGACCAGCCACACUGGGACUGAGACACGGCCCAGACUCCUACGGGAGGCAGCAGUGGGGAAUUUUGGACAAUGGGCGAAAGCCUGAUCCAGCAAUGCCGCGUGCAGGAUGAAGGCCUUCGGGUUGUAAACUGCUUUUGUACGGAACGAAAAAGCUUCUCCUAAUACGAGAGGCCCAUGACGGUACCGUAAGAAUAAGCACCGGCUAACUACGUGCCAGCAGCCGCGGUAAUACGUAGGGUGCGAGCGUUAAUCGGAAUUACUGGGCGUAAAGCGUGCGCAGGCGGUUAUGUAAGACAGAUGUGAAAUCCCCGGGCUCAACCUGGGAACUGCAUUUGUGACUGCAUGGCUAGAGUACGGUAGAGGGGGAUGGAAUUCCGCGUGUAGCAGUGAAAUGCGUAGAUAUGCGGAGGAACACCGAUGGCGAAGGCAAUCCCCUGGACCUGUACUGACGCUCAUGCACGAAAGCGUGGGGAGCAAACGGGAUUAGAUACCCUGGUAG
rnacentral:rRNA from 1 species